UGGGGAAUUUUGGACAAUGGGCGAAAGCCUGAUCCAGCAAUGCCGCGUGUGUGAAUAAGGCCUUCGGGUUGGAAAGCACUUUUGUCCGGAAAGAAAUGGCUCUGGUUAAUACCUGGGGUCGAUGACGGUACCGGAAGAAUAAGGACCGGCUAACUACGUGCCAGCAGCCGCGGUAAUACGUAGGGUCCAAGCGUUAAUCGGAAUUACUGGGCGUAAAGCGUGCGCAGGCGGUUGUGCAAGACCGAUGUGAAAUCCCCGAGCUUAGCGUGGGAAUUGCAUUGGUGACUGCACGGCUAGAGUUUGUCAGAGGUGGGUAGAAUUCCACGUGUAGCAGUGAAAUGCGUAGAGAUGUGGAGGAAUACCGAUGGCGAAGGCAGCCCCCUGGGAUAACACUGACGCUCAUGCACGAAAGCGUGGGGAGCAAACAGG
rnacentral:rRNA from 1 species